UACGUAGGGUGCAAGCGUUGCCCGGAAUUAUUGGGCGUAAAGAGCUCGUAGGCGGUCUGUCGCGUCGGCUGUGAAAUCCCGAGGCUCAACCUCGGGUCUGCAGUCGAUACGGGCAAACUAGAGUAUUGCAGGGGAGACUGGAAUUCCUGGUGUAGCGGUGAAAUGCGCAGAUAUCAGGAGGAACACCGGUGGCGAAGGCGGGUCUCUGGGCCGAUACUGACGCUGAGGAGCGAAAGCAUGGGUAGCGAACAGG
rnacentral:rRNA from 1 species